rnacentral:rRNA from 1 species
GGGUUGUGAGGUUAAGCGACUAAGCGUACACGGUGGAUGCCCUGGCAGUCAGAGGCGAUGAAGGACGUGCUAAUCUGCGAUAAGCGCCGGUAAGGUGAUAUGAACCGUUAUAACCGGCGAUUUCCGAAUGGGGAAACCCAGUGUGAUUCGUCACACUAUCAUUAACUGAAUCCAUAGGUUAAUGAGGCGAACCGGGGGAACUGAAACAUCUAAGUACCCCGAGGAAAAGAAAUCAACCGAGAUUCCCCCAGUAGCGGCGAGCGAACGGGGAGGAGCCCAGAGCCUGAAUCAGCAUGUGUGUUAGUGGAAGCGUCUGGAAAGGCGCGCGAUACAGGGUGACAGCCCCGUACACAAAAGCGCAUGUGCUGUGAGCUCGAUGAGUAGGGCGGGACACGUGGUAUCCUGUCUGAAUAUGGGGGGACCAUCCUCCAAGGCUAAAUACUCCUGACUGACCGAUAGUGAACCAGUACCGUGAGGGAAAGGCGAAAAGAACCCCGGCGAGGGGAGUGAAAAAGAACCUGAAACCGUGUACGUACAAGCAGUGGGAGCACAGGUUUACCUGUGUGACUGCGUACCUUUUGUAUAAUGGGUCAGCGACUUAUAUUCUGUAGCAAGGUUAACCGUAUAGGGGAGCCGCAGGGAAACCGAGUCUUAACCGGGCGUUAAGUUGCAGGGUAUAGACCCGAAACCCGGUGAUCUAGCCAUGGGCAGGUUGAAGGUUGGGUAACACUAACUGGAGGACCGAACCGACUAAUGUUGAAAAAUUAGCGGAUGACCUGUGGCUGGGGGUGAAAGGCCAAUCAAACCGGGAGAUAGCUGGUUCUCCCCGAAAGCUAUUUAGGUAGCGCCUCGUGAAUUCAUCUCCGGGGGUAGAGCACUGUUUCGGCUAGGGGGCCAUCCCGGCUUACCAACCCGAUGCAAACUGCGAAUACCGGAGAAUGUUAUCACGGGAGACACACGGCGGGUGCUAACGUCCGUCGUGAAGAGGGAAACAACCCAGACCGCCAGCUAAGGUCCCAAAGUCAUGGUUAAGUGGGAAACGAUGUGGGAAGGCCCAGACAGCCAGGAUGUUGGCUUAGAAGCAGCCAUCAUUUAAAGAAAGCGUAAUAGCUCACUGGUCGAGUCGGCCUGCGCGGAAGAUGUAACGGGGCUAAACCAUGCACCGAAGCUGCGGCAGCGAACGUAUCACUUAAAGCGAUUCAGCGGGUUACGAUUGACGGAGCGAAGCGACGUCAAAGCGUAUACAAAGUCGAGUCGGUUUAAGGAUACGUUCGUUGGGUAGGGGAGCGUUCUGUAAGCCUGCGAAGGUGGCCUGUGAGGGUUGCUGGAGGUAUCAGAAGUGCGAAUGCUGACAUAAGUAACGAUAAAGCGGGUGAAAAGCCCGCUCGCCGGAAGACCAAGGGUUCCUGUCCAACGUUAAUCGGGGCAGGGUGAGUCGACCCCUAAGGCGAGGCCGAAAGGCGUAGUCGAUGGGAAACGGGUUAAUAUUCCCGUACUUGGUGUUACUGCGAAGGGGGGACGGAGAAGGCUAUGUUGGCCGGGCGACGGUUGUCCCGGUUUAAGCGUGUAGGUGUGUGUUCCAGGUAAAUCCGGUUCACUUUAACACUGAGGCGUGAUGACGAUGCACUACGGUGCUGAAGCAACAAAUGCCCUGCUUCCAGGAAAAGCCUCUAAGCAUCAGGUAACAUCAAAUCGUACCCCAAACCGACACAGGUGGUCAGGUAGAGAAUACCAAGGCGCUUGAGAGAACUCGGGUGAAGGAACUAGGCAAAAUGGUGCCGUAACUUCGGGAGAAGGCACGCUGACACGUAGGUGAAGUGAUUUACUCACGGAGCUGAAGUCAGUCGAAGAUACCAGCUGGCUGCAACUGUUUAUUAAAAACACAGCACUGUGCAAACACGAAAGUGGACGUAUACGGUGUGACGCCUGCCCGGUGCCGGAAGGUUAAUUGAUGGGGUCAGCGCAAGCGAAGCUCCUGAUCGAAGCCCCGGUAAACGGCGGCCGUAACUAUAACGGUCCUAAGGUAGCGAAAUUCCUUGUCGGGUAAGUUCCGACCUGCACGAAUGGCGUAAUGAUGGCCAGGCUGUCUCCACCCGAGACUCAGUGAAAUUGAACUCGCUGUGAAGAUGCAGUGUACCCGCGGCAAGACGGAAAGACCCCGUGAACCUUUACUAUAGCUUGACACUGAACAUUGAGCCUUGAUGUGUAGGAUAGGUGGGAGGCUUUGAAGUGUGGACGCCAGUCUGCAUGGAGCCGACCUUGAAAUACCACCCUUUAAUGUUUGAUGUUCUAACGUGGACCCGUAAUCCGGGUUGCGGACAGUGUCUGGUGGGUAGUUUGACUGGGGCGGUCUCCUCCUAAAGAGUAACGGAGGAGCACGAAGGUUGGCUAAUCCUGGUCGGACAUCAGGAGGUUAGUGCAAUGGCAUAAGCCAGCUUGACUGCGAGCGUGACGGCGCGAGCAGGUGCGAAAGCAGGUCAUAGUGAUCCGGUGGUUCUGAAUGGAAGGGCCAUCGCUCAACGGAUAAAAGGUACUCCGGGGAUAACAGGCUGAUACCGCCCAAGAGUUCAUAUCGACGGCGGUGUUUGGCACCUCGAUGUCGGCUCAUCACAUCCUGGGGCUGAAGUAGGUCCCAAGGGUAUGGCUGUUCGCCAUUUAAAGUGGUACGCGAGCUGGGUUUAGAACGUCGUGAGACAGUUCGGUCCCUAUCUGCCGUGGGCGCUGGAGAACUGAGGGGGGCUGCUCCUAGUACGAGAGGACCGGAGUGGACGCAUCACUGGUGUUCGGGUUGUCAUGCCAAUGGCACUGCCCGGUAGCUAAAUGCGGAAGAGAUAAGUGCUGAAAGCAUCUAAGCACGAAACUUGCCCCGAGAUGAGUUCUCCCUGAGACUUAGAGUCUCCUGAAGGAACGUUGAAGACGACGACGUUGAUAGGCCGGGUGUGUAAGCGCAGCGAUGCGUUGAGCUAACCGGUACUAAUGAACCGUGAGGCUUAACCUUACAACGCCGAAG